rnacentral:rRNA from 1 species
CCUACGGGAGGCAGCAGUGGGGAAUAUUGGGCAAUGGGCGCAAGCCUGACCCAGCAACGCCGCGUGAAGGAAGAAGGCUUUCGGGUUGUAAACUUCUUUUGUCAGGGAAGAGUAGAAGACGGUACCUGACGAAUAAGCCACGGCUAACUACGUGCCAGCAGCCGCGGUAAUACUUAGGUGGCAAGCGUUGUCCGGAUUUACUGGGUGUAAAGGGCGUGUAGCCGGGUUGACAAGUCAGAUGUGAAAUCCUGCGGCUUAACCGCAGAACUGCAUUUGAAACUGUUGAACUUGAGUGCAGAAGAGGAGAGUGGAACUCCAUGUGUAGCGGUGGAAUGCGUAGAUAUAUGGAAGAACACCAGUGGCGAAGGCGGGUUCCUGGACAUUAACUGACGCUGAGGCACGAAGGCCAGGGGAGCGAAAGGGAUUAGAUACCCGGGUAGUC